GCUGUGAGCUGGUUUCGGAGGAGCAGGAAGCCGGCGGAUCGGACUGGCGCUGUCAGGCCAGGCCAGGCUCAGGGAGGGCGGAAUGUCCACUGUGCGCUGUCGCGGUAGCCCCGCACCGGACCAGGGACAUCCUGACGUCGGCAGCACCCAGGGCGCUCCCGACACAGCCUCAGGCUCACGAGAAGGGGAAUGGCCGUGGGGGAGCAUCAGGGGCGACCAGGAGGUCUUGCAUGUAAGUGGGACGUCGCUCCCAGGGAGGCCAGAGACCAGGGGAGAGACUGACGAGCGUGCAGGGUUGUCAUGGGGGGGUGUCGGCCCCUCGCCGGGUCGGGCAAGCUGAAGGCCGUGAGGAGGACCAGCGCACCGCGUCGCGGAAGGCCAGGACCGCCCGUGGUUGGGAAGACCGUGCUGCAGUGCGCCUGGGAGCAGACAGCUGGCGGCCGGCCAUGAGAGAGCGUCAUCGUGGCAGCCCGGCAGCAGGUAAAACCUGCAGACAGGUAAGGGCAGUAGAGCACCGUAGGGUCACCCAAUAAACAGUAAUAAUGGCAAGUCUCCGGGGAAAAGUCCAGUCAGAGGUGCAGCGGUGUAGAGUCCGACCCCCAGGAGGAGGCGUGCCGUGCCGGUGGGAACGAGGCACCGCGGCGCGCAGGUGUCCGUCCGUCAUGGGUCUCACUGAAGGCGAAGCAGAGCGGGUCUGUGGGGUUUGGCUGGACUUUUACUGGUGUGGCUCCUCGUGCGGGUGACGGUCUGUGUUUGCUUUAGAGUGGUGGACCCGCGGGGGGACACCGGAGACCUUCAGGGCAGUGGGGGUGGUUAGAAAAGAGUGUGGGGCCCCGUCCACUGUGGUGUGCGGGGGUCCCUUUUCCAGUCUUUGACCUGGACUGAGUCUCAGCUGGGAGGAGUGCACCUGGGGCCCUGAGGAGUCGGGGCUCUUGGUGGUCACCUUUGUCAUUCGUUCAGGAUGGCCCCAGGGCCUGAAGUUGUCUUUUUAUUUUUUUUAUCCCCAGCCUGACGUACGUUUCCAGGAAGGCUCUCCAGGCACGGGGAGGCCGUCCGCACACUAAUCUGAAAGGGGAGAAACCUAGCAUCCCAGGGGUGCGGCGGGCAUGCAGGGCGGCGGAUCUGGCCGUGGGAGGUUAGUCCCCCGAGCAGACUUUGCCAGGGUCCCCUUGAGGGUGCGGUUCCUUCGCUCUCCAUUCCCUGAACGUCGUGGCCGGUAGGCGAUGCGGAGCCUCCAGGUGAUGCUGAGAGACGGUCAAGACCUGUACAACGUCUCCUACACAUGCGGGCCCGUCGUCACUGUGCGUGGUCGACGGCAGGCCGAACCGGGGCACGACCUCCCACACGAGGACUUUGGCUACUUCCGGCUUUGCUCCGUCCAGAGUGCGUGCGCGUUAUCACCAGGAGACGUCUGGGCCCCUGCUCGGCUGCCCGUCUGCGUCCAUGUCCUGAUCUCCGGGCGGGGCUGCUGCCCUCCUCCUCCGGACUCCUGGCGGGGCAGUGGCGCAGGCCGGGCGUUGUGUCCGCGCAGGUUGUGCACGGCUGCUGAUGGCUGGCUGCUGGCGGGUGCAGGAGAGCUCCUUGGCGGGGAAAGCUCCUCCUUCCCCAGGGGGGUGAGCCGGGGGUGUUUCCUUGACUGGACGCCCUGCUGUUGUUAGGAUGAAGAUGUGCCCGUCUGGCAUCACCCAUCGUCCCUUCUUAGUCAGGUAAGGAGGCCCCUCUCCUUCUGGAUGGCCCCAUGUAUGUGCACAGGAGCAAAGGCGUACUGAGAGGCAUGUGGAGGUUGACUCGCUUGUCUUUGCUGAGGGUGAGGGCUUGGGCUAGGGCAUGGAGUUCAGCCCGUUGUGCUGGCCGUCCAGCUGGUAAUGCCUUAACCUCCAGGACUUGAGUGGUCACGGUCACUGCGUAACCUGCUUUCCGGGCACCCUCUCGUAGGUCACGGCUGCGGUCACUGGACAGCGUGAGCUCCGGAUCCUUCACGGCUCGGUCCCCGGUCUGGACGCUUGUGUGGGCUUCAUCAGUCGCCUCGGAGCAGUCAAGGUCUGGUUCCCCCUCUUCCAUGGGGACAGUGGCUGCUGGGAUUAAUGUUCUAGCCUCAGGUGCAUGGACUUGGCUGUGGAAUUUCUGAGAUUUCCUUAGCUGGGAAAGAGCGUUCCUCUCGGUGAUUGCUUUGUGGGUUUCAGAGGAUUAGGAUUUGUUUGUUUGUGUUCCAUUUUAGUGGGACUGGAAUGACAGUGUUUGGAGCGAGAGGGGUGUCAGGAAGCUGGUUUUUCUGUUCCUGGACCCAGAGUGUGGCAAGGCUCAUAGCACAUCUGCCCUCUCACCAAGACCCAUGCUUCCCAUCUGGCCCACCUCUGCGCUCUGCGGUGCGACUCCCGGUGCCAGGACCACACACCCCAGGACAGGCUCUCAUCGGCAGGCUCCCCGCUCACAGCAGUGCCGCCGUCCCCAGAGCACAGCCACACCCUGCCGUCUGGGGAGCUUGGCGCCGGAGCAAGUGUGGAGGCUCCCAUGGCGGUCAAGGCUCCAAUCACGCGUCGUCCCCACAGGCUGAUGGCUUUCUGUUUGAGUUUGUAUGUGUUGAGCUGGGGGGGUACUGGUUAUUUGCCAUCGAAGAUACUCGUCUGCUGAAUAUUGACAAUUCUGUAUCAGAAGUGGGAGCGAAGGCCAUUCUCAGGAAUGGACUCUAAAGGGACUCGAGGCGCUCCGUGUUCAACGUGUCCUGGACUCGAGAUGCUCCGUGUACGACGUCUGUCCCGGACUCAAGACGCU